UAUGAAGACAGAAGAUCACAGACGUAAGUACUAGAGGGGAGUUUGAAGGCGUUGAAUCUAAUCCCUUCACAUUUUACAAAUAGGGAAACUGGAGCCUCUGUGGAGGUUAAGUGAUUUCCGCAGCAUCUUCCAUUUUGUAGUGUCUGAAGGAGGAUCUGAAGGGAGAUUUUCCUGGCUCCAAAUCUACUAUACCAAGUUCCUUCUCAUAAGGAAGCAGAGCAGGAGUUAAAAACAAUAGGUCUUCCCAACUCCAAGCCUAAGAUUAUCCAGAAUGCAAAUCAAACACGUACAAGAUGGCCAACGCUGGAUCCUGGAGACAGACAUGGCCAGCUCAGGAUUCUCCUUGUUCAAUGGAUUGGAGCUAGAUACCUCGCCCCCUCCUCCUCCCAGGACCCCUUCCCAUUGUAGGGUGAGUGUGUGUGUAGAUGCUCACUUGUAGCUGCGCGAGCCAUUGUCUCCCUGUUACUGAAAGCAUCAUUUUCCCUAAUGAACUGCCAGGGCAGGAACCUAAGGGGAUGUUUUCUGUGUCUGAUUUGCCCACUGCCAUGUCCUCCCCAUCCCCCAUCUGGAGAGGUCACCCGCUGCUGUGGUUCCCAUGACAGCAGGGGAUGCAAAUUCAUCUCCGAUGAGUCAUUUUUAACAUAUUAAAAAGAAAGACCUUUGAGGAAUAAAAACCGGCUGGAUAAACUCUCCGGACAUUUCAUGCACUCAGUACUUGGGAGAGGAUGAUUCCCUUCAGUCUGAGAAUGGGAGAGCUAGAAGGGAUGUCAGUCCGACCUGUGGCUAAACAACCCUUCUCCAUAAAGGGCUUUCUGCCUGUAUUGAAGGCUUCUAGUCCUGGGCAGCCCCAGCCCGUGGGUGGCCAUCUCUGCUGAAUGAAUCUCCCCUCCCCAUUUUACUCUUAAUUGGAAUGUCUCUCUAUUCCUGAAGGAGCUAGAUGACGCCAGCGUGCCCAGAGCCCCAGACCCGAGUCAGGAAGACAUCUUCCUCAGACACUUGUAACCUGGGCAAGUCCCUUAACUUUGUUUUUGCCUCAGUUUCCACAUCUGCAAAACAAGCCGGAGAAGGAAAUGGCAAAGCAGUCCAAUAUCUUUGCCAAAGAACCCCGAAAGGGGUCACAGGGAGUUAGACAUGAAUGAGAACUACCGAGCAGCAGCAGCAGCAGCAAACUUUCCCCACUUGCUCUAGAUUGUGCUCCGAGGUCACAUGCUAAAAAUCCUUCUUCCCAAACAGCUUUUCAUAGACAAAGCUUCUGUUCUCCUGCCCCAAGUCUUCCCUUUUCUGAGCUAAACAUUGUCAGCUCCUCCAACUCACUCUCCUCUGGUCCAGCCGGCUGUCUUCUGACCAUCUUUGUGCUUUCCCUUUGGGUCGGCUCCAGUUUGCCAUUGUGGACCGAAUGCUGAGCCUCGGCCUGCGAGCUGAAAUCCUCGGGGGCAAGGACAAUGGCCAGCUCCCUGACUUUGGGAACCCCCCCCACACAGGAGAAGGGAAAUACAUUCCCAGUUUAUAACAGCCUUCUCUUGUCAUCCUUUCCUAUAUACAUGGUUUCUCCCUAUGUGAAUAGAAGCUUUUUGA